UUUAGAAUCAUCUUUAAUUAGAUCGCUGGGAAAUUUUAAAUUCAGGUGUCCAUUCUCUUAAGACUUUCAGAAUUACCUUAUAUCUUCAUGGCAGUGAAACGAUACAUGCAGUGUGUUGGUUGCUAAUUGUGAUUGAACUGCUAAAGAUAUUUCUUGCUUACUACUUAGUAGAAAGUAAAAAGUGACUAAACAUCAAUGGUUUUAAAAGUAGCAAAAUGACUGGCCAUGCUUUUUCGAGAGGGAGAUGCUUGAAAGAAGCAAAUU
rnacentral:misc_RNA from 1 species